rnacentral:lncRNA from 1 species
GGCCAAAGGCCCAGAGGAGGGCAUGACCAGACCAUGGAACCUUCCUGUUCUCUGCUGCUCAGCUGGAUAGUUGUUUCACCUUCCACAGGGACAUCGGUAAAAAGAUAAGUAAUCAAACUAAAACCAGCUUGGUUGCUUUUUUGGCAAUCAGCUUCUGUCAGUGGCCUUGGUGAUGGGGUAGGCAUAUCACAGCAGUCAUAACACUUGCAGUUCCCUGUGUCAGUCAGUCACUGGCGACAUGGUGGGCAUAGGAAGAUCAUAAGAACUUGUCUGCCAGCUGAGGCCACAUGUGAGCAGAAUAUUGUGUAGGGGCUGAGGUAAGUGGACAGAACAAAAGGCAUGGAAGGAAGGGCAUGUCCCAGGGCAGGAAGGUGAGGGUGUCUGUGAUGCUGCAAACUGUGUGUCCUCCACCUUUGUCUUUGAGGCCAAGAGGCCCAGAGGUGGAUAUAACCAGACCAUUGAACGUUCCUGUCCUCUCCUGCUCAUCUGAAGAGAUGUUCUGCCUUCUACAAGCACACUGAUACAAAGAUAAGUAAUCAAAAUAACAUGCGCCGGCUGUAAUUUGGUUGUCAACUUCUGGCAACUUUCUUGGUGAUGCCGUGGGCAUGCCAAAGCAGGCAUAAGCCUGGCAGUACCAUGUGUCACAUAGGCAUUGGCAACAUGGCAUGCAUUGGGAGAUCAUAGAAGGAGCUGCACAUCUCUGCCAGACCAAGCAAGAGGAGAGAAGGAUGGUUAGCAUAUGCAGUGGUGAGAGGACAGGACAGCGGACAUAGAAGGGAAGGUUUGCGCCUGGGCAAUGAGGCAGGAGUGGUUGUGAUGCAACAGACUGUGUGUCCCCCUCCUUUGUCUUGGAGGGACAGAGGCCCAGAGGAGAGCAUGACCAGACCGUGGAACCCUUCAGUCUUCUGCUGCUCCACCUUUCACAGGGACAUCAAUACAAUGAUAAGUAAUCAAACUAACACCAGCUUGGCUGUACUUUUGGCGAUCAGCUUCUGUCUGCGGCCUUGGUGAUGGGGUGUGCAUGUCACAGCAGGCACAACAUUGGCAGUUCCCUGUGUCACACAAGCACUGGCAACAUGGCAUUGGAAGACCAUAGAAAAAGCUGCAUCCCUCUGCCAGCCCAGGACAGAGGAGAGCAGGAUGGUUAGCAGAGGCACAGGUGAGAGGGUAGUACUGAGGACAUGGAAGGGAAGGGCUGGACCUGGGCAGGGAGGCAGGAAUGGCUAUUGUGCCAGACAUUGUAUGUCCUCCUCCUUUUUCUUUAGGGCCAGAGGCCAUGGAACCUUCCUGUCCACUUCUUCUCCCUGGAACAGUGAUACAAGCAUAAGUAAUCAAACUAACAUCAGCAUGGCUAUAAUUUUGCCAACAGCUUCUGGCAACUGCCUUGGUGAUGCCAUGGGCAUCUCACAGCAGGCAUAAAAUUGGCAGUUUCCUCUGUCACACAUAAACUGGCAACAUGGUGAGCAAAGGGCUAUCAUAAGAGCAGCUCCACUCAUAUGCUAGCCCUGACCAGAGAAGUGCAGGAGAGUAAGUAGAGGCAGAGGUGGGAGGGCAGGACAGAGGACAUGGAAGGGAAGGGCUGGGACCCUGGGCAGGGAUGCAUGGGUUGCUGUGAUGCAACAGACUGUGUGUCCUCCUCCUUUGUCUUGGAGUGACAGAGGUCCACAGGAGAACUUCCCCAGACUGUGGAACCCUCCUGUCCUCUGCUGCUCAGCUGUAGAGUUGUUCCAUUUUCUACAAGGACAUCAGUACAAAGGUUUCUACAUUCAUCUGUGAAUUAUUGGAACUAAUGAAAAGGAUGCACAGCAUCAGACUGUAUUGCUGCUUGUCCUUGGAGUUUGCUGAAAGUCACUUCGGCUGUGGAUGAGGAAAGAUGUGCACCACCAGUCUUCUCUUUGUGAAAAUCACCUGACUACAAAAUGUUUUGCUGCAUAAGUGUGUUAGCUAGUUCUUCUGAUUUACACCAUCUUUUUUGGGGGUAUAACCUUUGGGCUUCUCCUUAUUUUCUUUUCUGGUCUGCGUAAAUAAAUGAAAUAUAUUUAUGGAUAAUUGUGCA